rnacentral:lncRNA from 1 species
AUGGAUUAAAGGUCAAGGGAUCUUGGUAUUUUGCUGGAUUCAGGUGCACAGCUGGGGGACACACCAUUACUGCCCAACCAGCUGGAAUGGUAUAUCCUGCAUUAUCAUCAAAUUUGAUGUGUGUUAGCUUUCAUAUUUAUUGCAAGGAUAAAUUUUUUUUUUUAAUAUAACAAUUUGAAGGUGGGUCUCAAAAUAUUUUUGAUGCAUAAUACCUUUGAAUUGGAUUUCUCUUAGUGCUUUCCUGAAGAUUCCCGGCACUAUAUUUGCUAGUCUAACUGUUUCAUUGAUGAACUGUAAGUUGCACUUGUCAGUAUGGAAACAAACAACCUUUCACAACUGAUAAUAUGUCCUUGUAAGUUUAAAUCACAAAUUCUCUCACCUGGAAUGUGUAUGUCAUUGAUUUAUAUUCUUUCCAUGUAAGUCCAGAGUCUGUGUCUUCCCUGUUUCGUAGAAUUGCCUCAUGCUCUUCCUAUAAAGUGGAAAUACAUAAGUUCCAUGUUUGUUUAGAAAAGGAUUCGGAUUUUGCAGAUUCAGGAAUCAAUUCACAUACCCUUAGUUUUUUCAGCACUGAAGGGUCGUCAGAAAGGAAUUUAAUUGCUAAAGUUAGAGCCAGGGAAGUUGUUUCAAAGCUAGCAAAUAGUAGAACGAACAUCAAAUCCAGAGCAAUUGCCUCUGUCAGAAUUGUUCCCUCUUUCUGAAGUUCUUCAAGGACAAAAUAAAAAAAGUCAUUUCGGCUAUUCCCUUGCAUUGCCCGUCUUUCAUUUAGCAGAUUCUUUAGCAUUUUCAUUGCAUUUUUCCUUCCCUGAAAAAGUAAAACAUUCAAGAAUCAAUACACAAAAGAAUGGAUUUUUUUUAACCUUGUUAUUUUGAACUGGAAUGACAAGGUUAACUACCUGUAAACAUUUGUGAUAUGCUGUUCCAGGAAUAUCCAGGGGAAAGGAGAUUAAUCCUUGUAUGAAAGCAACAAAAUUCUCCCUCAGAUUCUGGGUGGCAUUGUCUUGGUCAUAACUUAUCAGCUUUUUGGCCGUCAGAUCAAAUAUCAUCUGCAAAUAAAGACAUAAGGUAUAUCAUCAUUAGACUGCAUUCUGAAACUUAAAAACAUGAAUGUGGGGGGACGGUGUAUAUGUGUAAUUACACUAGCAGUUGCUUCUUUUAAUUCAACUGUUUCUUCGUUUGACCAUCGUUGUAAUCUUCUACAAGCUGUUCUCUCAACUUCAGGCAGCAUCUUUUUAAGGUUUUCAGGACCAAAUAGAUUAAGCACCAUAUUCUUUAGGUACUUGUACAUAAAACCAUGUAAAGAACCCACAUUUUGGCGUCCAAAGAUCUCGGUGAACGUAUCCGGGUACCAACUCUGAAACAAUUGCCCUUCUUGUAGAAACACAAAGUGAUUGAGAUCCGGGUCAGCCGAUACAAUCACCGGUCGCCCCACUAUGCUCGUUUUGAAUACCGGCCCAUACCUGCAACCAAGUAGUAACCAACAUGUUAUGUAAUGAAAAAAAAAAAACCAAAAACAGAAAAAAGAAACAAAAGAUUAUCAUUGAGGAAAAAGCAAAUUGACCUUUUCAUUCUCUCUUUAACAAAGGGAGGAAUAUCAUUAGUAGUAUUGGGGCUGAAGAACUGAAGAGUUUCCCCAAGAAGUGGAAAACCCAUAGAACCUGGUGGGAGUUUGCCAUUACAUCUAGGAUUCCUCCAGUAAUAAACCCAAUGUGUAAUGUAUGCAAUAAGAACCAAAGCUCCAAUCCACAACACCAACAUUCUCUCAAAAACUAUUUAUACACUGAAGCUAUAUGUAUAUCUUGGAUUGAAGGAAGAAGAAGAUGAAUGCUGAUAUAUAUUUAUGGUCUAGGAUUGAUGAAGAAGAUGAUGAAUGAUAAUUAGCAGAAAUGGAAGUAAAAGAAACGUGGGAAGAAUAGACAGGUA